rnacentral:rRNA from 1 species
GAUGAACGCUAGCUACAGGCUUAACACAUGCAAGUCGAGGGGAAACGAUAGAGAAAGCUUGCUUUUUCUAGGCGUCGACCGGCGCACGGGUGAGUAACGCGUAUCCAACCUGCCCAUCACUUGGGGAUAACCUUGCGAAAGUAAGACUAAUACCCGAUGACGUCCAUAGAAGACAUCUGAAAUGGAUUAAAGAUUUAUCGGUGAUGGAUGGGGAUGCGUCGGAUUAGCUUGUUGGCGGGGUAACGGCCAACCAAGGCGACGAUCAGUAGGGGUUCUGAGAGGAAGGUCCCCCACAUUGGAACUGAGACACGGUCCAAACUCCUACGGGAGGCAGCAGUGAGGAAUAUUGGUCAAUGGACGAGAGUCUGAACCAGCCAAGUAGCGUGCAGGAUGACGGCCCUAUGGGUUGUAAACUGCUUUUAUAAGGGAAUAAAGUGGGAGUCGUGACUCCUUUUGCAUGUACCUUAUGAAUAAGGACCGGCUAAUUCCGUGCCAGCCGCCGCUGUAA